GGCUGCAGCCCAUGAGAGCACCGCCGCGGCGAUGUGCCCCCUGCCACAGGCUCCUCUUCCUCCCUACCACCUCUGCCCUCGUCAAGCACCUUCCCAAAAGCAGACCCAGGCCCGUUUCCUCCCAGAGCAACACAAACUCACCUGACGUCCUUCCAUCCAGCAGCGCGCUGCUGCGCCCGGCCAGGCACCCUCCCUGCGGAUGCUUUGGCCCAGCGUACAAGCCCUUUUGUUGUACAAGCAUUGCUUAUUACUCCCAAACGUGCAAGAGAAGGUGAAAACAAAGCUCUUAGAUGCAGCCCCACAACACGUCAAACCCUCCUGUGCUUUAUUUCCCCUGUACUCAGACAUUGCAGUUGAUCUUGAAAAUACUGGAUAGCAGAGUAACCUUUGCCUUUCUUAACUUACAUGUUAUAACGCCCCAGAACCUCUUGGGCAGUGCUGCAUUUUUUGCCUUUCUUUACCUGAGAUGCAGAAAACUGGCCUUUAUCAGGCUGUAUUCAGGCUUCUAAAGCCCAUCAAAGGCACAGAGAAGAGAUCCAAAUUAAAACGAAUUAUGUUUUCCAGGGAACUUGGAAUAGGCCUGGAAUUGGUUUAUCUCUGGCAGUUAAACAAAUUGCAGAGGGUGGGAAUGAGGACCACUGAGAAUUAGUAAAAUUAGUACAAAGGAAGUAGUGGAGACUUCAGAUGACAGCUGUUGAUGUUGACAUCUCUUCCCACCACAGAGCUGGAUGACUUCAAGUUCUGCUCCUGUGAUUUACUGUGCAGAGAAACAAGGAUCAUACCCUGCCUUCCUGCUCACAGGUGGGGUUUACUCACCCCAGUGCUGGCAGGGCACUGCACUACCUUGGACACAUGCUGAUCAAUCCCCAGUAAUGGAGCUCAUGAGAGCAGCUAUGGAAGCAGUGAAGACAGUGGCUCAGCAGAGCCUCUGCUUUUCAUGAAACAAGUUGCUUUGGCUUGUCUCUAACUUGAGAAAUCAGAACACUUCGUAACCCCAAGGCUUGGUUAGCCAAGGAUUUGCCGCUCCUUUGGAAACUGUCUGCAAUUGUAUUGCACCAUUUCUGAGCCUACAUCUAAUGUUCAGGGCACAAACUUAACAGAGACUGGGCUGAGGCCUUUGCUAAAAAUUGAAGACUCGCUUUUUCCAGCUGAGUCAUACCAGCAGAUAAAGCUUAAAAAAAAAAAUAAAUAGAAUAAAUAGUAGCAAGGCCAAAAAUCCUGAUACUGCAAAUAGGUCUUAAAGUUUGACCAGUUAUGGUGCUUGAGUUUUAUUUGAGAGAAGGGGUUGGCAUGUGGAAAGCUGGUCUGCUGCUGAGGUUCAGCUAAGAAAAGCAACCUUGUCACUUGAUAGCUCUUUGACCUCUUCCCCCCCAAAUACUGUUGAUAUUGUGUAUUUUUAGUAGGUUUUUGGGUGCUACGUGGUGUUUGAACACAUGCUGGCAGUGUGGAGCACUGCCCACACACAUUGGUUCACAGCAUGUGGCUGUGACAGGGUUUUUGAUUUAAGCAAACUGUACUACAGGUGAGCCUUAUAGGUAAGAAACUCAGUGCCGGUCCCUGAGGCUUACUCUUGCAUUUAUGUGCAUUGUGUAACCUCAGAGAUUUUUAUCUAGACCAUGUGGCAGAAACUUCAGCUUCUGGGAAAGGGGGAGAUUGGCACCCCCCAAUAAACAGGUUACUCAGUCUUUUAUCACAGCCCUUUUGGGCUGCCAGCCUGGGUGACUGUUUCUGUAGCAUCUGCUGGGGAGGUGCCUUGUGGACAGUACUGGCUUAACAGCUGCCUUGGUACGGUCUGAACAAGCUUAUCUUCUACGUGCUUAGUGAAAGCUGGUUGAUUAUUCUUCCCUAUCAGGGUAAAUGGACUGCUAAGGAAUUAAGACACUCUGAGAAAGGUACAGACUUGGUGUUGACAUGCUGAUGUAUAAAAGCUGUGGUGUAGGAACACUUCUUGGCCUCUUAAUUGCUGAAUUAUCUUGUAGAAUAUCAAGGAACAGCUUGUGAGUUCCUCAGAUGGAUUUACACUAAAGUGUGACUGAUGCAUUGCAAAGCACUACAGACUCAGGCUGUGCUGCUCGCUUUUGACUUGUCAUAAUUAAAGUUUAGUUUCUGUCUAGGAAGGGUUUGCAGCUACCCUCACACUGGGAUUGGAAAAUCCUCCCACAAACAUAUGCCAGUGGGACUUGCUGGAUUUGAAUGAGUUUGGGAGGGAAGAUGACAGAAAGAAGGGCUGUCAACACGAGGGAAGCUGAUUAAUAAGCAUGUGGAAAAGUAUUGGUGUUUGCUUACUAGUGAGGUGAGCAGGGAACCUCCCUGGAACGCCUGCAGGAGCUGGCAGGGAGGAGGCUCUGGCAGCACAUGGAGGUCAGGGAAAGCAGCGGGAGUGUCGCCUGUUCUGUGCUGCUGAGGGGUCUGAAGUGAGUUCAAGUGGCUCCGAGAGCUGCAGAGGAGCAAGAGGAGGCAGCAGUGGGGCGGUGAAAAGGAGCUGUCUGGUAAACAUGAGUGGCCGCCAAGUCAGAUGAUUGAGCGGGAGCACGAGAGCAGUCUGGAGGAUAGCAGGACACCAGCCUGGCCAAGGAAAGGGAUGAUGAGUCAGGCAGGGGGAGAACAAGAGCAACUGGUUGAGGAAAAGCAGGAUGUGGUUGUGAAACAGGGAGCUGGUAGAAGUACUGUUGGGUGACAGGUUAUUAUUUGCUGUGGCAUAUGGUAAUCUUUAGCCUGGAUCAUCAGGAGGGGACAGAGACAACAAGGUAGGAAUUUUUAAUUUGCAGGUUUCACCUUGCUUGAGAAUGGAGGCAAAACUGGAUGUUGUGUGGCUUCAGGAAGGGACUGCCUAUCCUGGACACCAGGGAGACCAAUGGUUCCCUGCUCAGUAAGAGUUAUAGCAGGAGAUGCUGCUUCUCUUUGAUUGAUAGCAUGGAAAGAGAACUCUGUCUCACUGCUAGGUGUAUAAAGGAAUCUUGAGUGAGUAGCUCGGAAGACUCUGUAUGUUACUAAUGGAAAGUACAUGAGGAAGAUAGAGCUGCAGACGUCUCUAGAAGUAGGUACCUUGUCUAGGAACAGCUGUGGGAUACAGCAAAGGCUCCUCAAGCUUUAUAUGGUGGAUAGUGGAGAGGCACAUGAAAAUACAAGCAAACUGGCUAUAGAUACAAGACUAACUUCAAACAUUUGCAUUUGUCAGAAGUCCAAGAGGUUUGAACGGCAUUAGCGUUGAGACUCAGUAAAAAUAACCACUAUUAAAUGGUUCUUUCUUCUGCAGUGGUUGUACUGAUUGCUACAAGCAACUGACUCUGGCAGAAAAUACCAACAUUUCAAAGUGUGUAACUUGCGUGAGAGAGCUUCGUGUUUGUAGGAAGUGUUCAGAACAACCUGUCCAUCAGGGGAGUUGCUGGAGACUGCUCUGGAGCACAUCUGAUCACUGCUGCCACAAGGCCCCAACCAGCCAGCCACAAUGUACUGCCUUCAGUGGUUGCUACCCGUCCUGCUCAUACCCAAGCCCCUCAACCCAGCCUUGUGGUUUAGUCACUCAAUGUUCAUGGGCUUCUACCUGCUCAGUUUUCUCCUGGAACGGAAACCAUGCACAAUUUGUGCCUUGGUCUUCCUGGCAGCUCUAUUCCUCAUCUGCUACAGCUGCUGGGGGAACUGCUUCUUGUAUCACUGCACAGGAUCCCAGUUGCCGGAAUCAGCUCACGAUCCCAGCAUUGUGGGCACCUAGAAAACGAUCGUCUUCCAGUCUGCUGAGGGCUCGUGUUUUGCUUUUCAAAAGGGGUUAGGGCUAGGGAGGAGGGAGGGGGUGUUAGGCAUGUGACUGGAGUAAAGACAGCCUGUUUCCUGUAACUGUGUAUGGACUGGAGUGGUAAAUUCCUCCCACUCUGCCUGUGAAAUUCGACUUGUUUACUGUGUGAACUCUGGCAGCACCACCUGCUUUUUUAGAAGCAGAUAUCUUUUUUUUCCUUUCCUUCCCAUAUCACUGGGAAGGGACACCAGCCCCUUCUGACUGAGCACUGGUGCAGGACCGAGCUGCUGGCCUCUGCCCAGCUGUGUGUCACUCACUUGUCUGAGUUAGGCCAUGGUGGUCUAACUCAGGGCUCUCGACCCGCUGAUUCUGCUCAAGUAGCUACAAGAUUCUCUCCAUCUUUGUGGGGAGCCAGUCUUCCCACCUUGCUGCUGCAGGGCAAGCUCGACAGCUCACUGAUGCACUUGGCCAAAAGCUGCUGGAGCCAGAGGCAGUUGAGUCACCUCCUCCUGCUCAGCCUGCCAAAGAGAUGCAUGCACUGCCGAAGUGCUUUCUGAACUACUUAUGCUCCAAGAUCAUAGCCUGAAAGCCUCAGUUAUGCUGCUGCUUUUAUAAAGCCUCACAGGUAGUGGAGACUGACUUUUUUCCCUCCUUCUAGAUUUCCAGGGUUUACCAAGGCAUCGGCUGUUGGGACGAAUAACGAGUAUGCUGCAAGAUGCAGGGUUUUUUGAAAGCCACUGUGAACCUCACCCUGUAAAACUCAUGCUAGUCCAAAAGGCCAGGCAUGGGCAGGGCCGGAGAGGAUCCCAAGGUGGAGUCAUGGCUUGAAGCAGUAAAUGCUUCAGCCAUUUUCAGUGGUUUUGGGCCGGGGAUGACAAGGUGCUACUGACUGGAGAGGAGGCCUGAGGAGUGCCCAGUGUCUCCACCUCCCUGGCAGAAGGGCUUCAAGAAGCCAUGGUGGUGGUGAUGGGUCAGUCCUACAGCCACAGCUGUGCAGAGCCCCAUGCUGUGUGCAUUGCUCUGUGCAGCCGUGGCUCCUGGGGAGCCCAGCCUGGAGCAGAGAUUGGUUUGUGAGAAGCCUUAGAGGGUAACACAAAACACUGUCUCUAAACUUUAAAGGUUUCCCUCCCCUUUGCCAUCUGUUUGUCUUUACUUCAGCCUCGGAGUGGAGAGCAGCAGAAGUGGCUGUUGCUGUCCUGAGGAAGUUCAAGCUAUGAGGUUGUGAAACUUCCAGAGUAUUGUUUGUUCAUUGCACAGCUGUUCAAAAUGUUUAAUAAAGCUUUAUAAACUUUG